GGCUGUUCGCCAUUUAAAGUGGUACGCGAGCUGGGUUUAGAACGUCGUGAGACAGUUCGGUCCCUAUCUGCCGUGGGCGCUGGAGAACUGAGGGGGGCUGCUCCUAGUACGAGAGGACCGGAGUGGACGCAUCACUGGUGUUCGGGUUGUCAUGCCAAUGGCACUGCCCGGUAGCUAAAUGCGGAAGAGAUAAGUGCUGAAAGCAUCUAAGCACGAAACUUGCCCCGAGAUGAGUUCUCCCUGAGACUUAGAGUCUCCUGAAGGAACGUUGAAGACGACGACGUUGAUAGGCCGGGUGUGUAAGCGCAGCGAUGCGUUGAGCUAACCGGUACUAAUGAACCGUGAGGCUUAACCUUACAACGCCGAAG
rnacentral:rRNA from 4 species